rnacentral:lncRNA from 1 species
UGGCAUUUGAAUUAUUAAUCAAUUCAUUUUAUUAAAAAAAAUGUUAAUUAAUUACCAGCAAAGAAAGAACAUGAUAAUUAAUAUUUAUUAAAAAAAAAAGACCUGCCUCCUUUGCAUUUGAAUCAAGCCGGUAUACAAGAAAUGCAUAAAAAUGGGCAUUUUUGUUAUUACCAUUACCAUACUAGACCUAUACGUUAGCUUCUAAUCAUUCCCC